rnacentral:other from 1 species
UUGAGUCUCAGAGAGUGUAAGAAAAAUAACCCGACAAGCAUAUAUACGGGGACUGUCUCUGACAAUGGUGUGCAAGCUCAACUCGUAUUGAGAAGCCUAAAGUUGUUAUCAUGGUCACCCACCUUGCAUAAUGGGGUUAUUGUUUCACACCUUUCUGGGGCUUUUU